rnacentral:rRNA from 1 species
GACGAUAAUGACGGUACCUGAAGAAGAAGCCCCGGCUAACUUCGUGCCAGCAGCCGCGGUAAUACGAAGGGGGCUAGCGUUGUUCGGAAUCACUGGGCGUAAAGCGCAUGUAGGCGGGUCUUUAAGUCAGGGGUGAAAUGCCAAGGCUCAACCUUGGAACUGCCUUUGAUACUGGAGACCUUGAGUCCGGGAGAGGUGAGUGGAACUGCGAGUGUAGAGGUGAAAUUCGUAGAUAUUCGCAAGAACACCAGUGGCGAAGGCGGCUCACUGGCCCGGUACUGACGCUGAGAUGCGAAAGCGUGGGGAGCAAACAGGAUUAGAUACCCUGGUAGUCCACGCCGUAAACGAUGGAUGCUAGCCGUUAGGCAGCUUGCUGCUUAGUGGCGCAGUUAACGCUUUAAGCAUCCCGCCUGGGGAGUACGGUCGCAAGAUUAAAACUCU